GGGCCUCUGGCGCAACGGUAGCGCGUUGUAAGUUCCCACUUUAAUCCAAGCCAAGUCUUGAAUUCUUCUAACAAAUUCACAGCGACUCCAGAUCGAAAGGUUAUCCGUUCAAAUCGGGUGGGGCUCA